rnacentral:misc_RNA from 1 species
UUUCCGUAGGUGAACCUGCGGAAGGAUCGUUACAGAGUUCAUGCCCUCACGGGUAGAUCUCCCACCCUUGAAUAUUUAUACCUCAGUUGCUUUGGCAGGCCGUGGAAACACCAUGGGCUCCGGCUUAUGCGUGCCUGCCAGAGGAAACAAACUCUGUUUUUAGUGAUGUCUGAGUGCUAUAUAAUAGUUAAAACUUUCAACAACGGAUCUCUUGGUUCUG